UUGCUUUGGCAGCACAGAUACUAAAAUUGGAACAAUGCUGAGAAGAUUAGCAUGGCCCCUGAGCAAGGUUGACAUGAAAAUUUGUGAAGCAUUCCAUAUUUUU
ensembl:snRNA U6 U6 spliceosomal RNA